CCCAUGUCUACCUUUUAAAGAUGUGUCUCCUCUGGGAAUCCGUAUUUCUUAUUUCUUCUUGCCCUGAAUAAUCUUCCUGCACACAGGAAAGCACUGAACACCAAAGGGAAGUAUUUGGCAGGCAGGGAUAAAUGAAGAUUUCUGAAUAGUAUAUUGGUAAGCAAUUUAUCAGCCUGAGAGUUGAAGCAAAUGAAAUCGUUAAGUGGACUGAUCCAGCGUUGGAGAUUGGCAAGAGGCAUGUUAAGGAAACUGGAGAUGUUGGACCAACAACAUUCCAAAUAGUAACUGCUGUGUCAAUCUGGGUCCCAGAGUGAAAAUAACAUGAUGACAUGGAACAGAGGCCUCAAUCUACCUCAAAGGACA